UCUCCUUUAUCAAGGAACUGGACUUCAUUCUCCUGCAAAAGCUGCUUGAUCUUGACCUGUUGCUCUUUGACCCGGGUCUCAAGCAGGCGCACCUGGGCUCUGAGCCGCACCUGCUCCUGGGCACAGUCCUCGAGCGCCUGCAAAACAGUUCCCAUUUCAGAAUAUUAUUCCAAACAGAAAGUGGUUUGAAAAGUUCUAAUACUACCUACUAUUUGAAGAGUUGGAAAUUAUGGCUUAUGAGAAAACUCCUGGACUCAAAAGAUCAAAUAAUAUAAAAUAAUCGGAAUCGCUAUGCUAGGAGCUUUAUAGUUGUCUCAUUUGAUCCUCAUAACAAUUCCAUGCGGUAAGAAAGGGCUCAGUCUUGAUGACCAGUGGAUAAGCAGAGGUGGGAUUCAAAUUCAGUUCAAGGACCCUGCUCUCAAUCUCUAUAUGACAUUGCUUAUGUGUUUUCUAAACAGUAAUGUGCUUUAUAGAAGUUAAUUGUAUUGUUGGCAUGUAAAAUCUCCAUAAUAAAUGAGGUUUUUUAAUGG
rnacentral:antisense_RNA from 1 species